rnacentral:misc_RNA from 1 species
CACCGCUACAGUUGGCUACGCCCACGAUUGCAUCUAGACGACUUGAGCGCCGCGGCCGUCCCUGCCCCCCUCUCCCCACACCUCAUCCCGCGCUAGUGUCCUUCGCGCAGCAUGAGGAUUGAGCAGUGCUCCUUCUGCAGUGCCCCGAUCUACCCGGGGCACGGGCAGGUGUUCGUGCGCAACGACUGCAAGGUCUUUCGCUUCUGCUCUAGCAAGUGCCGCAAGAACUUCGGCAUGAAACGCAACCCGAUGAAGCUGAAGUGGACGAAGACGUUCCGCAAGGCAAACGGCAAGGAGCUGGCGGUGGAUAGCACCAUGGACUUUGAGCAGCGCCGCAACAUUCCUGUCAAGUACAACCGCGAACUGCUGGGCGACACGCUGAAGGUGAUGAAGCGCGUCGAGAAGAUCAAGCAGCGGCGUCAGGAGGACUUGUGGGCGAGGCGCAUGGAGAAGGCCCGCCUUCAAGAGAAGCAAGAAGCUGCCUCGGCGCUUAAGCACAACAUCGACUGGAUCGAGGACGUUGAGAUCAAGCACAAGGCGCGUGACGACCUGGUGGCCAUCCAGCAGGAGCGCGAGGACAAGAAGGCGAAGCGCCGAGAGGCUAACAAGAAGCGUCACCAGAAGCAGCGCCUGGCCGAGAAGGCUACGGGCACGUCCGCCUUCCGUUCUGCCAAGAAGAAGUAGGCCCCCCUCUCCCCCCGCUCACUCAGUCACUCCCUCGCUGACUCCUAUUCGCCUGCAAGAAGAAGCGAAAAAGCAAACAACAAGCAAGAAAAAAAAACGAAAAGUGAUGAUAAUAAGCAGGUGCGAUGUGAAGGACAUACACAGGGGGGGGGGAAGGCGUCUUCUCUCUGUGGUUCUCUCAGUAAAUCGACCUGUCUGUCUCCGUGUCCUUGCCGUCUGCUUGUGCCUCUUCUCUCCCCGUAUUCGUGUCUGCGUGCGUUUCUGUCUUCCUUUAACUUGCGCCGCUCACAUACACCCGAGCGCGCUAGCGCCUAGGUGGGGGAGGCGAGUAGGGGCGCGCGGGCAGAGACGUGCUCCCUCUGACGCGUCUUCUCCCCCUCUCCCCCAUCCUGUUUCUCUUUCUCUGGUGUGUGGGAGGGGGGAGGAAGAGGGGUGCCGCCUGCCGUCGUUGUGGUCGGCGUGCUUUUGCAUGGUUUGGCCCGCAUUUAAAAUGCUCUUCGCUCCUAACUUGGAUUCCCCCCUUUGCGCGCUCGUCCUGUGAGGUGCCCCUCCGUUGGCCGGCAUGUCGGUUUCUGCGCGUGUUCGAUGUUUGUGUGCGUGUUCCGUGUUGUCGAUGUUGUCAGGGAGGGGCGGGUGUCAAGCGUGUGCGCGUCAUGGCCUCCCCACCUCCUCUUCAUUCUUCUUGAUUCCCCUUUUGAUCCGAGUAAACCGUUAAGCACAGGCCCUCCUCGAUCAGCACACUAACGAACAGAAAACAACACAAGGCUUGCGGAGCAACGGCGGCAUGCACACACCGACGUACACAGAGACGACAUCCGUGGCUUGGGCGCAUGCGAUGAUGGAAGGAGAGACAGUGGCGAUACGGAAUGCGCGCCUGUGUGCAGGUGUGCGCCGCGACGUUGCCCUCCUGACCCUCUCGCUCGGCCCCUUUGCCCGUGUCCAUCUGUGUCUUCUCACCGCAGUCGUAAUCGUCAGUUGACGCUUAUCAUCUAGACGGAAACAGCGCGAGUCGUCUUCCGUGGCGGCUCCCCUGCGCCCUCUCCAUGUCAACCCCCCCCCUCCCAGCCCUCGUCACUGCACUCCGCUUCUCCUCUCGCUGUACUACGUGCCUGUGCCCCUGCUUGGGUGUGCGCUUCUCUCCUUCGUCGCGGUCACCCGGGUAUCAUCGCCGGGUCCCACCACGUUGCCAUUCUCUGCCGCGGCGACCCGACCUCCUUUCCUUGGCGCCCCUGUUCUCUGUGCCUGUCUGUCUCUCUGACGGGAGUGGGCCGCGCACAG